rnacentral:rRNA from 1 species
AUUGAACGCUGGCGGCAUGCCUUACACAUGCAAGUCGAACGGCAGCACGGGUGCUUGCACCUGGUGGCGAGUGGCGCACGGGUGAGUAAUACAUCGGAACAUGUCCUGUAGUGGGGGAUAGCCCGGCGAAAGCCGGAUUAAUACCGCCUACGAACUACGGAUGAAAGCGGGGGCCCUUCGGGCCUCGCGCUAUAGGAUCGGCCGAUAGCUGAUUAGCUAGUUGGUGGGGUAAAGGCCUACCAAGGCGACGAUCAGUAGCUGGUCUGAGAGGACGACCAGCCACACUGGGACUGAGACACGGCCCAGACUCCUACGGGAGGCAGCAGUGGGGAAUUUUGGACAAUGGGCGAAAGCCUGAUCCAGCAAUGCCGCGUGUGUGAAGAAGGCCUUCGGGUUGUAAAGCACUUUUGUCCGGAAAGAAAUCCUUGGCUCUAAUACAGUCGGGGGAUGACGGUACCGGAAGAAUAAGCACCGGCUAACUACGUG